CUACGGGCCGCAGCAGUGGGGAAUAUUGCACAAUGGGCGCAAGCCUGAUGCAGCCAUGCCGCGUGUAUGAAGAAGGCCUUCGGGUUGUAAAGUACUUUCAGCGGGGAGGAAGGGAGUAAAGUUAAUACCUUUGCUCAUUGACGUUACCCGCAGAAGAAGCACCGGCUAACUCCGUGCCAGCAGCCGCGGUAAUACGGAGGGUGCAAGCGUUAAUCGGAAUUACUGGGCGUAAAGCGCACGCAGGCGGUUUGUUAAGUCAGAUGUGAAAUCCCCGGGCUCAACCUGGGAACUGGAUCUGAUACUGGCAAGCUGGAGUCUCGUAGAGGGGGGUAGAAUUCCAGGUGUAGCGGUGAAAUGCGUAGAGAUCUGGAGGAAUACCGGUGGCGAAGGCGGCCCCCUGGACGAAGACUGACGCUCAGGUGCGAAAGCGUGGGGAGCAAACAGGAUUAGAUACCCCGGUAGUC
rnacentral:rRNA from 1 species